GAUGAAUAACGUAGCGAAAUGCGAUAAGUAAUGUGAAUUGCAGAAUUCAGUGAAUCAUCGAAUCUUUGAACGCACAUUGCGCCCCUUGGUAUUCCGAGGGGCAUGCCUGUUCGAGCGUCAUUAUAACCCCUCAAGCUCAGCUUGGUGUUGGGGCCUGCUGCACUGGCAGCCCUUAAAAUCAGUGGCGGCGCCAUCUGGCUCUAAGCGUAGUAAUUCUUCUCGCUAUGGAGUCCUGGUGGAUGCUUGCCACCAACCCCCAAUUUUUCUAUGGUUGACCUCGGAUCAGGUAGGGAUACCCGCUGAACUUAAGCAUAUCAAUAAGCGGAGGA
rnacentral:misc_RNA from 1 species